AAAGCUAAUUAAAUGUUCAAAAUUACUAUAUAUUUUUUUUGUAAGAAACUGUUUGUUUCUGUCCACUGCAGAUGCUCUUAAGAUACAAAGAGAAGGAAAGAUGGAAUUAAUGUUCUCAUUGUUAUAAGAUAAGCAUUGAAAUGAUCAUCCACUUCUUUACCAAACUCAAGUACUAUGAUCAUCCACCCCUUUACCAACUCAAGCACUAUGAUCAUCUACUCAUCAAACACUAUGAUCACCCACUCAUUUACCAAAUUAAGCAUCAUCUUUGUUAU
rnacentral:lncRNA from 1 species